UACGGGGGGGGGCAAGCGUUGUUCGGAAUUACUGGGCGUAAAGGGCUCGUAGGCGGCCAACUAAGUCCGACGUGAAAUCCCCCAGGCUUAACCUGGGAACUGCAUCCGAUACUGGAUGGCUUGAAUCCGGGAGAGAGAUGCAGAAUUCCAGGUGUAGCGGUGAAAUGCGUAGAUAUGGUGAGGAACACCGGUGGCGAAGGCGGC
rnacentral:rRNA from 1 species